UGCCGUUUCAUUGUUUGCCCAAAAUUUAAAGGAAAUUGAAUGGCAAUUAGCCAUUCUUUCCGAACGCAAGCCAAACACCCAAUUUGUUUAGGGUUUUGACUCAACAGCCUUUAAUUUCUAAGGCUAUUUCAUCACCAGUACACCAUUAAAAUUGGUGACGGGUAUGGAAGCAGCCUUUAUUUCAUCAGAAUUAACACUCAAAGACCACUUUUACUUAUGGAUCCGCAUUUCUAACCCCAAUUUCGACGAAGAAGCCAAGAGAUCUCAUCGAUGCAUUUAGCAGAGGUACGGAGAAGAUGACCCGGGGAUCUCACGUGGGAAGGCGUUCCUCUGGUGCCCUUCCAGUGCAUUCCAAGAACUUCUAGAGUUCUGGACUGCUGGAAUUCUUUUUCUUUUUGGGAUCUUUUGGGUUUGGGCUAAAUUUAGGAUAUGGGUUUAUUAGAAUUGGGUUUUAGGUCAUGGGUUAUUUUGGUAAUUUAUGUAUUUUGAAAAUUGUAAAUGGACUUUUUUAGACUAUUUAGUCUUGGACUUUAUUUCUUUA